rnacentral:lncRNA from 1 species
ACCAUCCAAACUGAUUCCUGGAGUGUCAAAGUUAUCAAUGGCUUCAGGAACCCCAGUGAAUGCUCACAUUAGAAUCAGAUGUUCAAUAGAAUUCACAAAGGAUUAGAAAAACAUCCCUAAUAUGUCAAAGUUCAGAGGAGUCUCAUGGACCCUAAGUAGUUCUCACACUGGGGGUAACAUGACCUAGACAGCUAAGAGUAAGAGUUUGAAAAUAGUAUACGAAGGUAGGGGAUAGUUUUAUGAAGAAAACAAAGUUUGUUUUCAGAAGUGAAGAAUUGUACAAACACAAUCCAUACUCGGCACAUGGUUCAUGCAGGUUAUUUAUUUAUAAUGGAUAUUUAUAUUAUUGAUCACAAAAUCUACGGCACUUGAAUCAAUAGACAAAAUUAGCCGCAUAUUAGUUAUAUGCUUGCAGUAUCCAGCCGUGUUUACAACAGACAACAUACAACAAGUUUAGACAAGGUUUCACAUUAUUAGACAUAACUUAGUUUAUUAAUUAUCAAUAGGUGAAUCACAUAGAUAUAUAUUGGAUAGAAGCAUUCUGAAGUUAAAAUGACAAAUCAAACAGUCAUAUAGAAGAGGGUGAGGUAUCAGGAAUUAAACAUGCUAGUUUCAUAAACAAGCAAACAAAAAUCAUGUAUCCAACAGGAACACGCUAGGGUAAACUAACAAUAGUAGCAUGUAGAAUAGGAAAGAAAUUAAGGCAUACUAGUUAAGAGAGAAAUAAGAAGGAGACAAAACGAUGUUGUUGUCUAUAGUGAAUUGGCUACAUAGCAUAUAGAAUAGAACAAGGUAAUAGAAAUUAAAGCAUACUAGUUAAGAGAGCAUUAAAUAAGAAACAGAAGGGCAAACAAAAUCAUAUUGAAGUAAGACUACAUAGCAUAUAGAAGAUACCAUGAUAACAGAAAUGGAGGCAUACCAUUUAAGGGGAUAGAAAAUAGGAAGGCGAAGAUGAAUGAAAUUCAAGGGUCUAACCUUGAUUUUUAGCCGGCUAGAUAGUGUAACAAAUCAAAGAGAUGUGGGUGUGUAAGUGCAAAUCAGUGUGCGCUUGUAAGUAUGGGUAUCUGAGUUUGAGCGUGUGUAUUUAAAAAUCAGAGCAAUGGAGGAUUUAUAGCAUAUAGUAGAGUAAGACCAAAUAAGGUAGGAGAAUAAAUGUUAACACCAAUGAGGCAAAGAGAUCAAUCAAUCAGUCAAUUAAGGCUUAACAUGAAUUAAUUAAUAGGCAGAAUCCUGAAGGUAUUAAUUAAAUUAACACGGAAUAAAUCGCCAACUGAGAUUGAGAUCUAAUAAGGUAAAUAGUAGGUCCAUAUGUCAAUUAAAAGUCAGAACACAAAAUUGGGCCAGUAGAAAAGGUAAUUACUCAUAUAAAUAAGAUAAGCAGGUAAAAUCUUAAUAAGGGGAUGCGGGUACUAAAUUCAAGCCCUAAUUUGGGUAAUAAAAUCAAUUAACACUAAUUGACAGGGCUAAAGGUAAACGGGCAAAAGACAGCAGGAUAAACAUUCAAAUAAUCAAGAACCCUAGAAAAUACAAAGACAUAUACAUGGAGCUUGAUCAAAUCAAGUAAAAUCAGUCAGAGACUAAAUAAGAGAGUCAGAGAUAAGAACAUUUAACGCUAAAAAACAUUUUUUGCAGAAAUCUCUUAGAAAUCAAAACCCUGGGUACUUGAGUAAACGAAAUCGAUCAAUAACAAUAGUAAGAACAAAGAAUCUCAAAGGAGAAAUAACAAACAAACACAAAAUCAUUUUAGAUCUAAAGAGAUCUAGACAGAUUCAACUAGAAAAAUACCUAGGUUCAUAAAAGGACAUAAGCAAAUCAAAUCUGGUUUGAACAGAAUAUUUGAAACCCACAAAAUACGAAUAUACUCAUACUCACAAGUAUUAGAGUAAACACAUAUGGAAUAAUCGAGAACGAAGAGACUUUGAACCAGAUUUGGUUUGAGUCUCUUGAGAUUCUCAUCAAACAGCGUAGAAAUCAUAUAACUAGUAGAGAUAGGAGACUAGAUAAAGCUCAACAUCGAAGAAAAGCCCCCAUAGAUUGUAGGAGUUCAGGUGACGGCGAGUUAAGGUUAGGAAAAAGCUGAGAGAGAAUAGAGGAGGAGAGGAUUCAGAGG